UACGGGGGGGGCAAGCGUUGUUCGGAAUUACUGGGCGUAAAGGGCUCGUAGGCGGCCAACUAAGUCGGACGUGAAAUCCCCAGGCUCAGCCUGGGAACUGCGUCCGAUACUGGAUGGCUUGAAUUCGGGAGAGGGAUGCAGAAUUCCAGGUGUAGCGGUGAAAUGCGUAGAUAUCUGGAGGAAUACCGGUGGCGAAGGCGGCAUCCUGGACCGACAUUGACGCUGAGGCGCGAAAGCGUGGGGAGCAAACAGG
rnacentral:rRNA from 1 species